rnacentral:rRNA from 1 species
GAUGAACGCUAGCGAUAGGCUUAACACAUGCAAGUCGAGGGGCAGCAUGGUCUUAGCUUGCUAAGACUGAUGGCGACCGGCGCACGGGUGCGUAACGCGUAUGCAACUUGCCUCACAGAGGGGGAUAACCCGUCGAAAGACGGACUAAUACCGCGUACACUCCAUCUUGGGCAUCCAAGGUAGAGGAAAUGAAAUUCGCUGUGAGAUAGGCAUGCGUCCCAUUAGCUAGUUGGUGAGGUAACGGCUAACCAAGGCGACGAUGGGUAGGGGAACUGAGAGGUUGAACCCCCACACUGGUACUGAGACACGGACCAGACUACUACGGGAGGCAGCAGUGAGGAAUAUUGAUCAAUGGGCGAGAGCCUGAACCAGCCAAGUCGCGUGAAGGAUGACUGUCUUAUGGAUUGUAAACUUCUUUGAUACGGGAAUAACAAGAGUCACGUGUGACUCCCUGCAUGUACCGUAUGAAUAAGCAUCGGCUAACUCCGUG